rnacentral:rRNA from 1 species
GGACGAACGCUGGCGGCGUGCCUAAUACAUGCAAGUCGAGCGAAUCGACGGGAGCUUGCUCCCUGAGAUUAGCGGCGGACGGGUGAGUAACACGUGGGCAACCUGCCUAUAAGACUGGGAUAACUUCGGGAAACCGGAGCUAAUACCGGAUACGUUCUUUUCUCGCAUGAGAGAAGAUGGAAAGACGGUUUACGCUGUCACUUAUAGAUGGGCCCGCGGCGCAUUAGCUAGUUGGUGAGGUAAUGGCUCACCAAGGCGACGAUGCGUAGCCGACCUGAGAGGGUGAUCGGCCACACUGGGACUGAGACACGGCCCAGACUCCUACGGGAGGCAGCAGUAGGGAAUCUUCCGCAAUGGACGAAAGUCUGACGGAGCAACGCCGCGUGAACGAAGAAGGCCUUCGGGUCGUAAAGUUCUGUUGUUAGGGAAGAACAAGUACCAGAGUAACUGCU